rnacentral:rRNA from 1 species
UCGAACGCCCGCAAGGGGAGUGGCAGACGGGUGAGUAACACGUGGGAACAUACCCUUCGGUACGGAACAACUCGGGGAAACGCGAGCUAAUACCGUAUACGCCUUGGCGGGGAAAGAUUUAUCGCCGAAGGAUUGGCCCGCGUCCGAUUAGCUAGUUGGUGAGGUAAUGGCUCACCAAGGCGACGAUCGGUAGCUGGUCUGAGAGGAUGGCCAGCCACAUUGGGACUGAGACACGGCCCAA